rnacentral:rRNA from 1 species
GUGAGGAAUAUUGGUCAAUGGGCGAGAGCCUGAACCAGCCAAGUCGCGUGAAGGAAGAAGGAUCUAUGGUUCGUAAACUUCUUUUGCAGGGGAAUAAAGUGCAGGACGUGUCCUGUUUUGUAUGUACCCUGAGAAUAAGGAUCGGCUAACUCCGUGCCAGCAGCCGCGGUAAUACGGAGGAUCCGAGCGUUAUCCGGAUUUAUUGGGUUUAAAGGGUGCGUAGGUGGUUUGAUAAGUCAGCGGUGAAAGUUUGCAGCUUAACUGUAAAAAUGCCGUUGAAACUGUCGGACUUGAGUGUAAAUGAGGUAGGCGGAAUGCGUGGUGUAGUGGUGAAAUGCAUAGAUAUCACGCAGAACUCCGAUUGCGAAGGCAGCUUACUAAGCUACAACUGACACUGAAGCACGAAAGCGUGGGGAUCAAACAGGAUUAGAUACCCGUGUAGUCC